rnacentral:rRNA from 1 species
UACAGAGGGGGCAAGCGUUGUUCGGAAUUACUGGGCGUAAAGGGCGCGUAGGCGGCCUUCUAAGUCGAACGUGAAAUCCCCGGGCUCAACCCGGGAACUGCGUCCGAGACUGGGGGGCUUGAAUCCGGGAGAGGGAUGCGGAAUUCCAGGUGUAGCGGUGAAAUGCGUAGAUAUCUGGAGGAACACCGGUGGCGAAGGCGGCAUCCUGGACCGGCAUUGACGCUGAGGCGCGAAAGCCAGGGGAGCAAACGGG